AGGCGCGUAGCUCAGUUGGUUAGAGCGCCACGUUGACAUCGUGGAGGUCACCAGUUCAAAUCUGGUCGUGCCUACCA
rnacentral:tRNA from 1 species